ensembl:snoRNA SNORD10 small nucleolar RNA, C/D box 10
GCUCUGUGAUGAUCCCCCAUGCGUGUCAGCUGAGCCCAGCUUCCCCUGUUCUCCCAGGUCUAAGUGGGUGUCUUACCCUCUAGUCUUUCUGGGCUGGCGGAGGUCUGUGUGCACAUGAUCUCUCUUUAACCCUGAGAGC